CCGUACUAAGCGGGGAGCUAGUGGUGCCCUAUUCCCGAAAUCCACUAUAUGCGGGGCUGAAUGCCAAUGGCGGUGCAGGUGGUUUUAUUUUGUGAUGUAAACUCUUACGUUGAGUUUAAGGUCUUGUGCAAUAGCAUGCUAUGAACCGUGUCAGAGCUUGACCGCAGCAGCACUAAAUGGAUGUUGUUAUGUGCCAUAAGGUAGCUUUGAAGGAGUUUGAUUUACACCACAGGUAACGCCAACCACAUCAACAUUGGAUGUACGG
rnacentral:SRP_RNA from 1 species